UCAUGGGUUACCUAAGUUUAUCUAUGCCAAAGAUUGUAGGCCUAAAGUAUCAUGCUAAUUUCUGAAGCCAAUGUCUUCCAGGAUACAAGUCUGUAGGUUCCUGGCAUUACUGCUAAAACUGAAAAAGCCAAAUAUAAUGCAAACCAGUGAAUACAAUAGAGUGCAUAGGGACCUCACUCAAGGAUCAGAUCCCAUUGCAUGAGGCGCUAUACAGGGCUCCUCUGACUGUAACAUCUGAAUGCUUCCCAGUCAAUUCGUCCCAUGACACCCAAGUAUUAUUACUCCCAUUCCCAGAUGGAGAACUGAGGAAUAGAGAGAUGAAGUGACUUGCCCAAGACCACACAGGAAGUCUGUGGUCGAGUUAGGAACUGAACGCAGAUCUCAUGAGUGCAACCCGGUGCAUUAAUCAGGAGACCAACCUUCUUUCAUGCAUGAAUCCGGAGCAGC